GAUCAAGCUCACAGCAGGGAGGAUGUGGAGUCCGGGGGAGCUGCUGAAGAGACGCGAGGAGCUGUGACAGAGGGGGCAAAGUGUCCACUAGAAGCCCCGCCCCGCGCCAGACUGUCUCUUUCAUAUAAGGUGAUGAGGUCUCUGGACGCAGAGUAUUACAGAGAUGUGGAGUUGAACAUCCGGCUGGAUACCUGCGAAGAGAUGCAGAAGACAGACUACAAGUUGUUUGCAGGAAGGCAGUACCUCCUGGGAGACAAUUGUCAGGUGCAUUUGGAGGCAAUAGGGAAGUACUCCAACGCUUUCAAUCAGGAAGUAGAAACAGACUC